ACUAAGCGUACACGGUGGAUGCCCUGGCAGUCAGAGGCGAUGAAGGACGUGCUAAUCUGCGAUAAGCGUCGGUAAGGUGAUAUGAACCGUUAUAACCGGCGAUUUCCGAAUGGGGAAACCCAGUGUGAUUCGUCACACUAUCAUUAACUGAAUCCAUAGGUUAAUGAGGCGAACCGGGGGAACUGAAACAUCUAAGUACCCCGAGGAAAAGAAAUCAACCGAGAUUCCCCCAGUAGCGGCGAGCGAACGGGGAGCAGCCCAGAGCCUGAAUCAGUGUGUGUGUUAGUGGAAGCGUCUGGAAAGGCGCGCGAUACAGGGUGACAGCCCCGUACACAAAAAUGCACAUACUGUGAGCUCGAUGAGUAGGGCGGGACACGUGGUAUCCUGUCUGAAUAUGGGGGGACCAUCCUCCAAGGCUAAAUACUCCUGACUGACCGAUAGUGAACCAGUACCGUGAGGGAAAGGCGAAAAGAACCCCGGCGAGGGGAGUGAAAAAGAACCUGAAACCGUGUACGUACAAGCAGUGGGAGCACGCUUAGGCGUGUGACUGCGUACCUUUUGUAUAAUGGGUCAGCGACUUAUAUUCUGUAGCAAGGUUAACCGAAUAGGGGAGCCGAAGGGAAACCGAGUCUUAACUGGGCGUUAAGUUGCAGGGUAUAGACCCGAAACCCGGUGAUCUAGCCAUGGGCAGGUUGAAGGUUGGGUAACACUAACUGGAGGACCGAACCGACUAAUGUUGAAAAAUUAGCGGAUGACUUGUGGCUGGGGGUGAAAGGCCAAUCAAACCGGGAGAUAGCUGGUUCUCCCCGAAAGCUAUUUAGGUAGCGCCUCGUGAAUUCAUCUCCGGGGGUAGAGCACUGUUUCGGCAAGGGGGUCAUCCCGACUUACCAACCCGAUGCAAACUGCGAAUACCGGAGAAUGUUAUCACGGGAGACACACGGCGGGUGCUAACGUCCGUCGUGAAGAGGGAAACAACCCAGACCGCCAGCUAAGGUCCCAAAGUCAUGGUUAAGUGGGAAACGAUGUGGGAAGGCCCAGACAGCCAGGAUGUUGGCUUAGAAGCAGCCAUCAUUUAAAGAAAGCGUAAUAGCUCACUGGUCGAGUCGGCCUGCGCGGAAGAUGUAACGGGGCUAAACCAUGCACCGAAGCUGCGGCAGCGACGCUGAUGCGUUGUUGGGUAGGGGAGCGUUCUGUAAGCCUGCGAAGGUGUGCUGUGAGGCAUGCUGGAGGUAUCAGAAGUGCGAAUGCUGACAUAAGUAACGAUAAAGCGGGUGAAAAGCCCGCUCGCCGGAAGACCAAGGGUUCCUGUCCAACGUUAAUCGGGGCAGGGUGAGUCGACCCCUAAGGCGAGGCCGAAAGGCGUAGUCGAUGGGAAACAGGUUAAUAUUCCUGUACUUGGUGUUACUGCGAAGGGGGGACGGAGAAGGCUAUGUUGGCCGGGCGACGGUUGUCCCGGUUUAAGCGUGUAGGCUGGUUUUCCAGGCAAAUCCGGAAAAUCAAGGCUGAGGCGUGAUGACGAGGCACUACGGUGCUGAAGCAACAAAUGCCCUGCUUCCAGGAAAAGCCUCUAAGCAUCAGGUAACAUCAAAUCGUACCCCAAACCGACACAGGUGGUCAGGUAGAGAAUACCAAGGCGCUUGAGAGAACUCGGGUGAAGGAACUAGGCAAAAUGGUGCCGUAACUUCGGGAGAAGGCACGCUGAUAUGUAGGUGAAGUCCCUCGCGGAUGGAGCUGAAAUCAGUCGAAGAUACCAGCUGGCUGCAACUGUUUAUUAAAAACACAGCACUGUGCAAACACGAAAGUGGACGUAUACGGUGUGACGCCUGCCCGGUGCCGGAAGGUUAAUUGAUGGGGUUAGCGCAAGCGAAGCUCUUGAUCGAAGCCCCGGUAAACGGCGGCCGUAACUAUAACGGUCCUAAGGUAGCGAAAUUCCUUGUCGGGUAAGUUCCGACCUGCACGAAUGGCGUAAUGAUGGCCAGGCUGUCUCCACCCGAGACUCAGUGAAAUUGAACUCGCUGUGAAGAUGCAGUGUACCCGCGGCAAGACGGAAAGACCCCGUGAACCUUUACUAUAGCUUGACACUGAACAUUGAGCCUUGAUGUGUAGGAUAGGUGGGAGGCUUUGAAGUGUGGACGCCAGUCUGCAUGGAGCCGACCUUGAAAUACCACCCUUUAAUGUUUGAUGUUCUAACGUGGACCCGUAAUCCGGGUUGCGGACAGUGUCUGGUGGGUAGUUUGACUGGGGCGGUCUCCUCCUAAAGAGUAACGGAGGAGCACGAAGGUUGGCUAAUCCUGGUCGGACAUCAGGAGGUUAGUGCAAUGGCAUAAGCCAGCUUGACUGCGAGCGUGACGGCGCGAGCAGGUGCGAAAGCAGGUCAUAGUGAUCCGGUGGUUCUGAAUGGAAGGGCCAUCGCUCAACGGAUAAAAGGUACUCCGGGGAUAACAGGCUGAUACCGCCCAAGAGUUCAUAUCGACGGCGGUGUUUGGCACCUCGAUGUCGGCUCAUCACAUCCUGGGGCUGAAGUAGGUCCCAAGGGUAUGGCUGUUCGCCAUUUAAAGUGGUACGCGAGCUGGGUUUAGAACGUCGUGAGACAGUUCGGUCCCUAUCUGCCGUGGGCGCUGGAGAACUGAGGGGGGCUGCUCCUAGUACGAGAGGACCGGAGUGGACGCAUCACUGGUGUUCGGGUUGUCAUGCCAAUGGCACUGCCCGGUAGCUAAAUGCGGAAGAGAUAAGUGCUGAAAGCAUCUAAGCACGAAACUUGCCCCGAGAUGAGUUCUCCCUGACUCCUUGAGAGUCCUGAAGGAACGUUGAAGACGACGACGUUGAUAGGCCGGGUGUGUAAGCGCAGCGAUGCGUUGAGCUAACCGGUACUAAUGAACCGUGAGGCUUAACC
rnacentral:rRNA from 1 species